AGUGAACGCUGGCGGUAGGCCUAACACAUGCAAGUCGAACGGCAGCACAGUAAGAGCUUGCUCUUACGGGUGGCGAGUGGCGGACGGGUGAGGAAUACAUCCGAAUCUACUUUUUCGUGGGGGAUAACGUAGGGAAACUUACGCUAAUACCGCAUACGACCUACGGGUGAAAGCAGGGGAUCUUCGGACCUUGCGCGAUUGAAUGAGCCGAUGUCGGAUUAGCUAGUUGGCGGGGCAAAGGCCCACCAAGGCGACGAUCCGUAGCUGGUCUGAGAGGAUGAUCAGCCACACUGGAACUGAGACACGGUCCAGACUCCUACGGGAGGCAGCAGUGGGGAAUUUUGGACAAUGGGCGCAAGCCUGAUCCAGCCAUACCGCGUGUGUGAUGAAGGCCUUCGGGUUGUAAAGCCCUUUUGUUGGGAAAGAAAAGCAGCAGGUUAAUACCCCGCUGUUCUGACGGUACCCAAAGAAUAAGCACCGGCUAACUUCGUG
rnacentral:rRNA from 1 species